rnacentral:rRNA from 1 species
GGGUCAGUAGGUUGGUCGUGCCACCGGUACGUACUGGUCUCACCGAUUCCUCCUUCCUGAAGAACCGUAAUGCCAUUAAUUUGGUGUUGCGGGGAAACAGGACUGUUACUUUGAAAAAAUUAGAGUGUUUAAAGCAAGCUAACGCUCGAAUACAUUAGCAUGGAAUAAUGAAAUAGGACGAUCGAUCCUAUUUUGUUGGUUUCUAGGAUUGACGUA